CUACGGGAGGCAGCAGUGGGGAAUAUUGCACAAUGGGCGCAAGCCUGAUGCAGCCAUGCCGCGUGUAUGAAGAAGGCCUUCGGGUUGUAAAGUACUUUCAGCAGUGAGGAAGGUGGAUAUGUUAAUAGCAUAUUCAUUUGACGUUAGCUGCAGAAGAAGCACCGGCUAACUCCGUGCCAGCAGCCGCGGUAAUACGGAGGGUGCGAGCGUUAAUCGGAAUUACUGGGCGUAAAGCGCAUGCAGGUGGUUUGUUAAGUCAGAUGUGAAAGCCCGGGGCUCAACCUCGGAAUUGCAUUUGAAACUGGCAAACUAGAGUACUGUAGAGGGGGUAGAAUUUCAGGUGUAGCGGUGAAAUGCGUAGAGAUCUGAAGGAAUACCGGUGGCGAAGGCGGCCCCCUGGACAGAUACUGACACUCAGAUGCGAAAGCGUGGGGAGCAAACAGGAUUAGAUACCCUGGUAG
rnacentral:rRNA from 1 species